rnacentral:rRNA from 1 species
AGUGAACGCUGGCGGUAGGCCUAACACAUGCAAGUCGAACGGCAGCACAGUAAGAGCUUGCUCUUACGGGUGGCGAGUGGCGGACGGGUGAGGAAUACAUCGGAAUCUACUUUUUCGUGGGGGAUAACGUAGGGAAACUUACGCUAAUACCGCAUACGACCUACGGGUGAAAGCAGGGGAUCUUCGGACCUUGCGCGAUUGAAUGAGCCGAUGUCGGAUUAGCUAGUUGGCGGGGUAAAGGCCCACCAAGGCGACGAUCCGUAGCUGGUCUGAGAGGAUGAUGAGGCAGGCUGGAAGUGAGACACGGUCCAGACUCCUGCGUGAGGCAGCAGUGGGGAAUCGGGGACAAUGGGCGUAGGAUUGACGGAGCUUUUCGGCGGGAGUGAAGAGGGGCUGCGGAUCGCCAAACUCUGUUAUGAGGGAAGAAAAAAUGUGUAAGGAACUACGCCCGGCCUGAAGGUACCUAAUGAGAAAGAAACGACUAAUUUCGUG